rnacentral:rRNA from 1 species
GUCUUUUUGAUUAUAAUAUAAAGUCUGAUCUGCCCAUUGAUAAAAAUUUAAAGGCCGCAGUAUUUUGACUGUGCAAAGGUAGCAUAAUAAUUAGUUUUUUAAUUGGAAGCUAGAAUGAAUGAUUUGAUAAAAAAAAUUCUGUCUCUUUUUUAUAAAAAUAAAAUUUUACUUUUGAGUUAAAAGGCUUAAAUUUUAUUUAAAGACGAUAAGACCCUAUAGAGUUUAUAUAUAAAAUUUUAAUAUUUUUUUAUUUUUAUUUAUUUUUAUUAAAAUAUAUAUUUUAUUGGGGUGAUAAGAAAGUUUAUUUAACCUUUUUAUUAUAAUAACAUUUAUAAUUGAUUUAUUGAUCCUUUUUUGAUUACUAGAUAAAAUUACCUUAGGGAUAACAGCGUAAUUUUUUUGGAGAGUUCUUAUCUAUAAAAAGGUUUGCGACCUCGAUGUUGGAUUAAGAUUUUUUUUAAAUGUAGAAGUUUAAAUUUUAAGUCUGUUCGACUUUUAAAAUCUUACAUGAUC